rnacentral:rRNA from 1 species
CUCAGGAUGAACGCCGGCGGUGUGCCUAAUACAUGCAAGUCGAACGCGUUGGCCCAAUUGAUUGAUGGUGCUUGCACCUGAUUGAUUUUGGUCGCCAACGAGUGGCGGACGGGUGAGUAACACGUAGGUAACCUGCCCAGAAGCGGGGGACAACAUUUGGAAACAGAUGCUAAUACCGCAUAACARCGUUGUUCGCAUGAACAACGCUUAAAAGAUGGCUUCUCGCUAUCACUUCUGGAUGGACCUGCGGUGCAUUAGCUUGUUGGUGGGGUAAUGGCCUACCAAGGCGAUGAUGCAUAGCCGAGUUGAGAGACUGAUCGGCCACAAUGGGACUGAGACACGGCCCAUACUCCUACGGGAGGCAGCAGUAGGGAAUCUUCCACAAUGGGCGCAAGCCUGAUGGAGCAACACCGCGUGAGUGAAGAAGGGUUUCGGCUCGUAAAGCUCUGUUGUUAAAGAAGAACACGUAUGAGAGUAACUGUUCAUACGUUGACGGUAUUUAACCAGAAAGUCACGGCUAACUACGUGCCAGCAGCCGCGGUAAUACGUAGGUGGCAAGCGUUAUCCGGAUUUAUUGGGCGUAAAGAGAGUGCAGGCGGUUUUCUAAGUCUGAUGUGAAAGCCUUCGGCUUAACCGGAGAAGUGCAUCGGAAACUGGAUAACUUGAGUGCAGAAGAGGGUAGUGGAACUCCAUGUGUAGCGGUGGAAUGCGUAGAUAUAUGGAAGAACACCAGUGGCGAAGGCGGCUACC